rnacentral:rRNA from 1 species
GACGAACGCUGGCGGCGCGCUUAACACAUGCAAGUCGAACGGAAAGGCCUGCUUUCCCUUGUGGAUUGCGGGUACUCGAGUGGCGAACGGGUGAGUAACACGUGAGUGAUCUGCCCCCAACUUGGGUAUAAGCCUGGGAAACUGGGUCUAAUUCCCGAUAGGACUGCAGGGUGGUGCCUGUGGUGGAACACGAUUUUCUAGUGGUUGGGGAUGAGCUCGCGGCCUAUCAGCUUGUUGGUGGGGUAAUGGCCUACCAAGGCGGCGACGGGUAGCCGGCCUGAGAGGGUGGACGGCCACAUUGGGACUGAGAUACGGCCCAGACUCCUACGGGAGGCAGCAGUGGGGAAUAUUACACAAUGGGCGGAAGCCUGAUGCAGCGACGCCGCGUGGGGGAUGACGGCCUUCGGGUGGUAAACUCCUUUCGACCGCGAGGAAGCCACCUGGUUGGAAGGGUGGUGACGGUAGUGGUAGAAGAAGCACCGGCUAACUACGUG